UGUCGUCUUCUCUCUUCAUCUCUUGUUCUCCUGCUUGCCACACACCGGCACAUGCCCCUCCCCCUCCCCCAAACACACACACACACACACACCUUCCCUCCGGACCCGCACCCAUUCACAAUAACUGAAGAGCAGUAACGCCCGCUCGCCUUUACAAACACACGAGCACAUACUGCAGGGGAGAACGGGAAGGGAAACGAUAAAGACGAAGCACGACGCACACACGCACGAAACCGUCAUCUAACACAGCGCAUCAUACAAGAACAACCUAGCGCACUUCAGACAGGACAACCCGCUCCUCCCUCCGGCCAGUGCACAGCCGAAGGAGAGGCCGAAGAGCGGGGCGAGGGUGCGGCGCACAUACACACGCCAGCGGUAUCAGGGGAGGUGAACAAGGGGAGAGAUCAAGGCGUGUGAGGGGGCGUGCUAGGGACUGUCUCUCGACGUGCCGUCAUCUGUGCGCGCGUGUGAACCCAUCAUUAAGCGAAGCAAAAGUGCCACAACACCCAUACCCUCUGCCCAAAGCGUUGCAUACACACACACACACACACAGGCGCCCGUGUGUGCCAGCACUUGAACCGACAACAAACACCGAAGAGGAGGAGGAGGAGGAGGCUGGCUGCACCGGGAAUAUCGUCGCAACAAAAGCAGGGACGUGCACUCGGCAACCAUGAUUCUGGAAGGCGCGCCGGUGACGGGGCUGACGCUGCUCAUCUCUACCGUGUCAUCAACAAUGGUUCGAGGCCAGUACACGCGCUACCGUAACAUGGCCUUUGCUCCCGACACGCUGGCGGCCCCCCUCACCUGCUUCGCGUUGGCAAAGCGUCUCCUGCUGCAGAGCAUUCCGAUAGGCCCGCUCGGCAUCUCUGUUAUGGAUAUCUUUCUCUCUAUCAACCUGCUCUACCAGUUUCGCACGCUGGAGCGGCGGUGGGGGUCCAACACGUACAUGGCGUUUCUCUUUACGUCAGCUGUGCUUGGCGUGUGCACUGUCCAGCUCUUCGUCACGGAGAGUGGGUCGAAGCAACUGUCCAUCGACGCUGUCCGCAUCCUCUCUGCUGCCGGCACCAUUGUUCCUUUGGCGGCGUUGCUCACGUGCUAUCUUCGGGAGGUGCCCUCGCGGUCGACGUUGGCGAUGCGCAUUCCCGGCACGAACCUCAUCAUUUCAGAGAAGGCCCUGACACUGCUGCCGCUAAUGAAGCUCGUGCUGAGCCCUAGCACGCAGCUGCAGGCGCAGACGUUCCGCCGGGCGGCGGUGGAGGCCGACGUUGGGGUGUGGACACGAUUGUGGCUCGCCCUCGUCGGCGCUAUUUUUGCCAUCAUGUCCACGCGCUCGCAUGUCGUGCGGUGGUGGCUGACGGUCUUCACUCGGUACAUAUGCCGCCCGCUGCUGCGUUUCCUGAGGCCUCUGACAGACGUCCUGUUUGGGCCGUCGUUCACCGUGGACCACGCCAAGCCUCGGAACGCGCGGCACCACCAGGGUGGCAACGGGAGCUUUCAACUGGGCAUCGGCGGCGCUCGCGCUGGCUUCGAUGGCGCUGACGACGCAGGUGUCGUAGACGGUGGUCGAUACGUGGUGGAGAGCCUGACAGGUGGCGACACGCUGCAGGAGGUGCGUGCCCGCAUGCGCGCGCGGCGCCACGGGGCUCAACAGCAGCAGCAGGGCUCACGAGGUGGCGCCGUGGCCGCUGGUGCGCCUGCCCAAGCGCGGCGCCGCAGCCCGCAGGAGGAGACGGCAAGGAACGAGGCAAUUGCGACCAUAGAGGCAAUCGGCCUCCGCGCGUCACGUGACGAGAUCAUCGCAGCGUUGGACAUGACGGGAGGCAACCUUGAGAUGGCUGUGCAGAUCCUUCUGGGCAACUAAAACGCGCUGAGUGAUCCCUGUGAUCACCACCACCCUGUGCCUGAACGCGUUCUUUAUACAUCUCGCGGUGACGUUGCUCUUGCAGCUCUGCCAUGACUGGGAUUGCUCUUCGACGCUAGCUUUACCCCCUCCGCCCUCCCCGUGCUCUCUUGAUGCGCUUCCCUCCCUCUCUCCUUUCACCCUCUGCGCGCGUGUGCGCCACAUCGGUACUGCCCUGGCCCCGCCCUGAACCUCCAUUCAACAUCGCUCCUCGCCCUCUCAACCCCCCCCUCUCCAAACAGAAAGCCAACAUCUUCAUUUAUGCGGUCUUUAUAUGCUGGUGCACGUGUGUGCGUGUGCCGCCAAGAUACCCUCCCCCUUCUCUGCAUGUCUCUCUCUGUGUAUAUCGUCGACACUCUCUUGUAACGGCUAGUGCCGUUGCGUGACGCACCCUGCCUGUCUCGCCGUCCUAG
rnacentral:misc_RNA from 1 species